GGAUUAGAUACCCUGGUAGUCCACGCUGUAAACGAUGAAUACUAGCUGUUGGUCAUUUAAAGAUGAUAAGUAGCGCAGCAAACGCGAUAAGUAUUCCGCCUGGGGAGUACGGCCGCAAGGUUAAAACUCAAAGGAAUUGACGGGGGCCCGCACAAGCGGUGGAGCAUGUGGUUUAAUUCGAUGCAACGCGAAGAACCUUACCUACCCUUGACAUACUUGGAAUCUUGCAGAGAUGCGAGAGUGCCUACGGGAAUCAAGUUACAGGUGCUGCAUGGCUGUCGUCAGCUCGUGCUG
rnacentral:rRNA from 1 species